rnacentral:lncRNA from 1 species
UGCCCUCCUGCCACCCUGAGCGCUGCGCCCCCUGUCCACACUGCAGCUAAAGACUCAUUCGGUAGCAAUGCCGAGCUUACCGACUUGAUUCUUCUGAACAACUAGUCAAGACUGUGCUGAAGUCAUGGCACCCUUCUGUCUGCAGAUUACAAGAGUCUGGGCUCCAGGGAGGCAUUCUCUGCCAUAAUAAAAGUACCCGAGUCCCAGCCUACUCUGCAGGCCAUAUUCUCAAGCAUGCUUUCCCCUGUGAGAACUUCUUCUCAGGAACUACUCCCAUAUGUCAUUUCCAGUAUAAAGCAUCAGUGGUGAAACAUACAAUCUAACUUAACCAAUCGAUCCAGUAUACCCCUCUAUCAAAUGAGUUCACUAAAGGUUAAACAAUAUUUUUCCAAGAUGCUGUGGAUACCAAACUUAUAACAAGCCUCAUUAAGAAUAAUUUUUAAUAAACAUAGCAAAAAAGACUAAGUCUGAUUUCCU